UACCCCGGAAGGUCCUGGAAGACUCUAGAAGGCUCUAGAAGACUCUAGAAGACUCUAGAAAAUUCUAGAACACUCUAGAACACUCUAGAAAAAUCUAGAAGACUCUAGAACACUCUAGAACACUCUAGAAGACUCGAGAAGACUCUAGAAGACUCUAGAAUUGUGCAGAUUGUUGAAGACAAGCCUAGAAUCAUGUGGANNN
rnacentral:lncRNA from 1 species